rfam:Asian citrus Psyllid, Diaphorina citri - Florida Strain, whole genome shotgun sequence.
GUGAGCGUCGAUAGCACGUUGUAGGCACCAGUUCCCGAUGAAUCACUGAUGCUAAGCAACGUUGCGCGCGGUUGGUAUUCAGAUGAGUGACCAUUUGGGCAAUUACGUGCUGCUGGCC